GUCGGCGAGCAGCAGGCGCGGCCCGGGGAGGCCGCCAUCGCGCUCCAGCGCGCGCAGCUCGUCGGGGUCCAGGCCGGCCAGCGCGUUGAGGCGCACGUCCAGCUGCUCCAGGCGCGCCAGGCGCAGGGCGGCUGGCGGCAGACGGCUCAGCGCGUUGCCCGCUAGGCCCAGCAGGCGAAGCUCGGCCAGCGGUGCCAGCGCAGCGUCCAGCGCGGCCAGCAGCGCGGGGCCGCCGCGCACCAGCGCGUGGUUGAGCUGCAGCGAGCGCAGCGCGGGCAGCCCGCGGAAGGCGCCGCCGCCCAGGGCGCGCAGCGGGUUGUGGCUGAGGUCGAGCGCCGCCAGGCUGGGCAGCCCGUCGAAGGCGCCGUCCUCCACCACCUCGAUGUGGUUGUGCGUGAGGCGCAGCGCGCUCAGGAGCGGCAGGCGCACGCCCGCCGCCUGGUCGCCGUCCCCGUCCCCGCCGGCGAAGGCGGCCGCGCGCAGCACCGUCAGGUUGGCGCCUACGAUGGUGAGGUUGCGCGCGUCGGGCGGCACGUCCCGCGGAGGCUGGCGGAGCUCGGCUCCCGACGCGCAGCGCAGCAGCAGCUUGGGGCCGCCGAAGCAGUAGCACUGGAAGGGGCAGGGUGCCGCGGGCUGGCUCAGCGCCGCCGCCACGAGCAGCAGCCCCUGGAGCCCCGGCUGUCCCGCGCGCGGGGCCAUCGCGGCCGCCCCCGCAUCCAGCGCCCGGGCCGCCGCGCUCACCAGUGAGUUGGGAGCGCCUGGUGGGGGGCACGGGUGGGGCGAGUCCUUGACCCGGAGCGGCUGGCAGUCCCGGUCGGUCCGUUCGCUGUCUCGAAAGUCUGAGGAGCCGCACUUACUGGCUGACUGGCCGGGGGCAAGAGGGGUCAGACGGGGAGCGGAGCCCCCCGCCCCCGGUGCCCUCGCCCUGCGCGCCGGCCUCCGGCUUCCGCGGCCGCUCCGGGCUCCGAGCCGAGUGGGCAGGGUUUGCCUCCCCCCUCCCCGCCUCCCGGUCUCGUCCUCCGCCCCCAGCGGAGUCUCCGCGCCCUCCUCGCCGUGGGAGGCGGGGUGGGAGGCUCCCGAGAAUCAGGGCUGUCGGCUGCUGCGCUUUCUCUUCAUCCUCUCCGCCCCCGCCCCUCCGGGCUGCCGAGAAGUUUGGCUCCUGGAGGCUCCGACUUGGUUUUCCUCCUCCUCCACCCCCAACAUUUAAGCUGGGUCCUUCCUCCUCCUUCUCCAGCACGUGUGGGGCGGGGCCCGACUGCGGAGAGCAGGCAGAACUGGGAAGCUCUAAACCUGAUUUAAAGAGACAGGCUCCUGAGAAGGGAGGAUUCCUGGCCUUAGCAUGAAUUAUUCAGGCUGGAGAGGCUGACACUUGAUCCGCAGGCCAUUCGGGUAUCAGCAGAGCUGGUUGGAAUAGAGGCUCCCCACCUCCUCCCAAGAAUCAGUCUCUUUCUCCUGAAUUGGGUACGGUUGUUAUGUUGACUCCUUCCCUGAGGUUAUAUUUAACAGAUCGACCAAAGGAUCAAUACCACUUAAGGAGAAGAGGCAGACCCUGCAGUGGCCUGGGUCUUGGGCAAGGACCAACAUUAAGGAACAGAGCUGGUGAUGAUGGGGGUCUCCCAGCUCUCCCCUCCUCCAAGCCCCUCUCUCUUCCCUACCCCCUGUCUUAACUCUCCCAGGUAUGAGAGCUCAGAUGUGUCUCAUGCAAGUCCAUGCAGACUCAUUCAUAUGUGGACAUAGGAUCGUAGGUUUGAGUGCGUCCUGGCAUGUGUCCAUAAAUUCAUAAAGACAUACAUAUUUGAAUAUGCACACUUCUGAGCCCAUGCAGGUUCGUGGAUACAUUCUCAGAGGGCAAGCUUACAGGCCCAUGCUUAAGCCAUGCCAAGCAUAGGGACCCAGCGAUUGGCUAGCACAGUCAGACCCUACUCCUCCUGCCCUGCACCAUGCCCUUGGUCUGUGGAGGUAACAGGCUGGUGAUGUCUUUUCUCACAUGGGCACACGUGCUCAAGUAGAUGCCACUGGGGCUGGGCCCCCAGCUAUAGCCCUCCCCUAAACCCCGGCCCACACAGCAACAUGCCCCAGCUCUGACAUCUCCCCUGGUAGGAGGCACUAGGUCGUUUUCACUUUUCUGUUUCCAGUAUAGAGACUAUCUCAGGAGAGUGUGUGGUGCAAAUGACAGACUGAAUGAACAGAAGUCUCUGUUUCCUUGUCUGCUUCCAGGCCCUGAGGAAUCAGACCACUACCAAGGCUGGAACUCCUUCCCCAGGCCCCGGUGGUGGCUGGCCUCAGAUUGGCUGAUGCCCCCCUCCCCUGCUGCCCCCCAGGAAAGGAGCUGCAGGACCACAGGCAGCCUUGAUUGGGGGGGUGCUCAACACCUCAUUUGGGGAAAUGAGGCCUGGAGAGAAUUUAGAAUCAUCAGGUGCCAGAGAAUAAGGCAAAUGUCGUCUGUUUUGCACAAAUGGGGAAAUAGGCCAGAGGGGCCCCAAGGCCCCUGUCAAGUUUUCAGAGUUUAGCCUAGAAACCUGACCCCAGGGUCCUUGCCCAGGACUCUGUCCAAGAUGGUGGGCUGCAUCUGAGAGGGUCCUGCACCACAAGGAAUGCUUAUCCUGACCCCAAGAAGCUGAGGCUGGGAAUGGAUGCCAUGGUUGAUCUGGUGUGACCUCAGGCCUUUCUCAAUCUUGGGCUGUCACCUUCCUCUUCUAUAAGGUAGAUAGGCUUUAAAUUCCUGUUCUUCCUAUUCCUCUCAGGGCUGUUAUGAUAAAGUGAGUUGAAAGUGCCUCAAAACAAGAAAAAACAUUUCACCUGGGUCUGGGGGCCUAGCACCCGUCCUGCCAGACCCUGGGUAAGGCAUUGCCCCUCUCUGGGACUAAUUAGCUCCCAUGUCAUUUUUCCCUGUUCCAUGUUCUUUCCUUCUCCAACACAGCAGAUUUGUGGUGGAUGUUAAUGAGUCUCUGCUUGUCUCUCUGUAUGGCCUCUACUCAGCCUCCUCUCCUCUCUUCCCACUUUGUAAAGGUGCUUCCCGUCUAAAUUCUCCUGGAACCAAUUUCUCUCUGUCCAAGUUCCCCAAGGAAUCAAGUCUGCGAGCCAUUGGGGCUGAGGGAUCUCUGUUCUUUGGAGGAACAGCGCUCUCCAUCUUAGAUUUGCCAGUGUUCAGUAUGCAUUAAGUGUUCAAUAAAUGUGUGUCCACUUGAGUCUGAGGCUGUGUGUUUAUUCUCUGAUGCAUCUGGUGGAAGUCUCUUUUCUUGGACUGUUUGCCCCAGCUGGGGUGCUCUCCUCUUGAUUCUGUUUCUCCAGUCCAGUCAGCUGUCCCUCAGGACUUGUGAGUUUUGCCCCCUUCAGGGAGCCCUCAUGGCUUCCCUCUCCAUCCUUUGAACUUCACUGAUCAAUUAGAGGGCUAAGACUCCCCUGAUCUUCUUGACUGUCAGCAGCUAGGGCUCAGGUCUGGUCUAAUUUCUUAGGGAUCAGUACAGAGAAGGCACCAGGGAAUAUUUGCUGACUGAAAUAAUGAUUUAAAAAUCUGUGACUCGAGCCUCUCAUCCCUAUGAGGCAAGCUCGGUGAGGACCCCUCAUCUACACUUCAUACCAGGAGAUAGCUGCUCAGAAAUGUUAAGUGCUUUCCCCAAGGUUGCACACCUGACUGGGACCUGAGCCAGAUAGAAGCUCGGGUUUCUUGCCCAUCUCCUUUGCCGCAGCCCCCCCUCAUCCUAGGAUCCCUCUCUCCUGGGAGUGUGGCUGGGUCAGAUCCCAGGGGAGCCUGUGGGCAAAGAGCUCACGCCCUCAGGGUUUCCUUAGGACUCGGAAGAAGCGAGGCACCCCUCGCCACCCAAGCAGAGUGAUCAUCUGCCCUUUGCCCAGAUGAGUACCCCUCAUGUCAGCCACACUGGAUCUUCACGCUUGCUUGAAUUUAUUACUCCACUAGGUCCCAGAGCCCUUCUCUUAGUAUUCCAAGGUGUUGUCUCUACCUGAGCCUCUAGUGCCUUCGCUGGGCCUUUUCUGCUGGCACAGACCCUGCUGUUGAUCAGCUCCACUAAGCCUUGGUAGGGAGCACAGAGUGUGAUGACGUCCCUGAGAUCACCCAGCAGGUAGCCCCUUCUCCAGCUCUGUUUUGUCAUCAGAGGUGUGUCAAUAUUAUUAAAGUCCUUGGACACACCUCAGUUUCCCUGUCUGCAAAAAAGUGUGUGUGGAUGGGAUGGUCCUGGGGGGCCUAGUAGUCUUGUGCCCCUUGGCAUUUUAGGGAUGGGGGUCAGGGAGGGGAAGGUCAUACUGGGAUUUGCCCAAGUUGGUGCCCCCACCUUCUCAAUAUAUGACCUUGAACUUGGUACCACCCCAAUUAAGGCCUUGGUUGCCCGACUAGAAAGUGGUAGGGGUGGCUGGGUGUGGUGCCUCAUGCCUGUAAUCCCAGAACUUUGGGAGGCCGAGGUGGGCAGAUCACAAGGUCAGGAGAUUGAGGCCAUCCUGGCGAACAUGGUGAAACCCCGUCUCUACUAAAAAUACAAAAAAGAAUUAGCCGGGCGUGGUGGUGGGCACCUGUAGUCCCAGCUACUCAGGGGGGCUGAGGAAGAAAGUGGUAGGGGUGGUCUGGGGUCCUUCUGGAGCGGAUGCUGUAGCAUCCUGAGAUCCAGGCUCCCUUUGUCCUCUGUCCCAGCAGCCCUCCUGCUGCCUUCCCAUCCCUCUGUUCCCCCCUCCUCCAAGGCAAAUGGAGGAGCAGCAGGCGGCCUGACGUGAUGAACUCAGCCACGAGGUAGUGGGGGAGGCCCCAGCUUCUCUCCUCUUGCUUGGCUUCCUUGCCAGCAGGGACGGGAGACUUCACUGUGGGCCUUGCCAUUCCCAUUUCUCACUCCCCCUCCCCUCCCCCACUGCUGUGAGACACAGGAAAAUCCAUAGGCCCAAGAUUCAUUUUCUCCGUUGAGUCAGCAGAGGCCAGCGCUGCUUCUGAGGGGCAGGCAACUGGCUUUUAAAUAACUCUCUGAUAUUUAAUACCCUCCUCCUCCGCUCUGUGGCCUGGGCCUCUGGGGAAAGGCUAGAAUAAAUGAGCUGGAUGCGUCCUCCGAAAGUCCUAAAUGUUCUUACCCCCACCUCAGUCUUCCCCCCAACCCCCAACUCUCAGACCAUUGGAAAAGAUGACUCCUUACUACAUCUGUACCUUGCUUUACAGUUUCUAAGUGGUGGCAGGCUGGGUUUGUUGUCCCAGUUUAGAAUGGGAAAUGGACAUUUAGAAAAGGAGAGAGAUCCCACUUGACUUUUGGUCUUUGUCUGCUGUUGGCUGGCUGUGUGGCUGUGGGCAGGUGGGUCCCUGUCCCUCCCUGGGCUUCUGUUUCCUCAUCUGUGCUGCAAGGUGGUUCGGCCAGUGGGUUGUUGUUGGUCCCCCUUGGCUGUGUAAUGUUAUGAUUUGCUGUGCUGGCCUAGGUCUCCUUCCCUAAUGAAGCCUCUGUUUCUCCACUCCUCUUCAAGGAAAGGCUAAAGGGCAGAGCCGACUGAGGCUAAAGGCCAGCUAAGGUCUGACCCCUAGGAUUCCACUCUGUUGAGUCAGGGACAGGAGUGGGUAGGGGAGAGGGGAAAGGGAAAGGAGCAGAGUUGGGUGCCUUCCCUUCCCUUCCCUUGUCUUCCCUUCCCUCCCCUCCACUCCCCUCCCCUUUCAUUAUUUCUUGCUUUUGCCAGUAGAGGUUGGGACAGACCAAGGGCAAUAACCUGUCUUGGUUCUCUUAAAACCCAAGGUCUCUACCACUGUGGAUGCAGUUUAAUGAGGUGGGAGCAAAACCCUCUUCCUCAGCUGUGCCCAGGCCCAGGAUCCUGAUCAUGGAAGUUAGUGGGCCCAGUUCUCCUGGUUUUGCCACUGUUCUGCAUUAUUCAGAAGACAGGGAUUGAUAUCUCUGUUGGCUAUAUGAGAACACUGGGAGGUUAAGAGCUGUGCUUGGGGUCAUCCCAGAUUAAUGAUGGAACAGGGCCUAUAAUCUAGGUUUUCUGAUUCCCAACUCCGUGUUCAUGCCACUUCCCUGAUUCAGGCAGGAAGUUGGGGCCUGAGGGGUGAGCAUGGGAGAGGCAGCUGGUUCUGUAGGGGUGACCUUUGUUUGCCCAACUUCUUUAGCCUCCUCUUGGGUCCUCAUGCUCUUCUUCAAUGUACUGAGCCUUCUGCUUCUAGAAUCACAGAAUCUUGGAAUCAAAACAUUGACUGCUAAGAACCACAGACUCAGAGAGCCAUAGAACUGUGGUCUCUGAAUUAGAACAAAGACUUAUGGUAUUGGUAGUAUGGUGGUGGUGAAUGAGACACUUAGAGCUUGUGGUAGGUUGUUAAUAUUGAUGGUCCCAAAUGAAUUCUGCGUAUCUGAGUCCAUACUUUUAUGUUGUCCCACCCCAUACUGACUUUGGGUUGGCCGUGUGACUUCCUCUGGUUAAUGAGACGUCAGCAAAUGUGAUGCAAGGAGAGUCUUAAAAAGUGCUUGUGCAUUGGGAUUCACCUCUUCUUGCUCCCCUGAAACUGCCAUGUGUAGGAACACAAGCAUGCCUUUUAGAGGAAGAGACCAGAAGUAAACCAUCCCAGCUGGAGAUGAACCAGCUCCCUGAUGGUCUUCCGCCUGCCUCCAGCCACCUGAGUGACCCCAGAUAAGACCAACAGAACUACUCAGCUGACCCGAGCCCAAAUUUCUGACUCACAGAAUUGUGAACAAAUAAAAUGGUGGUUGUUUUAAGUCACUAAGUUUUGGGGUGGUUUGUUACACAGCAGUAGAUAACGGAUGCAGAACCUCAUCAUUGUAGAAUCUUGGUCAUAGAUCCAAUAUGCCCUGACAGUCACAGCAUCGUGGAACCCCAGGACCAGAAACUGGAACCACUGAUGUAGAAUCCAAGAAACAGAAGAGUCCUGAAAACGCCUUAACUCCCACCCAAUGGUACCCUCUCCUUUCACUGUCAGACCAGGUGACCACUCAUCUUUCAACGUUGAGCCCUCUCCCCACCCACAGGUGUCUCUUAUUCUUUAGCGUUGUGCCCAUUCUGUCACAGUCUUCUGGUUCCACCCCUCAGCUGGCUUCUCAGUCCCUUUCUCUAGGAAGCCUUCCUAUAUCGAUCUGCUUGCUCUGGUCCUGGGAGCCAAAUGUGGACUUUGUGGAAAUUUAUCUUAGUAUUCAUCCCAGUUCCUAGCACAGUGUCUGGCCAGAACAUAUCUUGAGGACAACAACUGGCACCACCAACCACACUUCUCAUUUCUUCCUGCCCUGUUGCCUCACAACUGGCAGUCCUGGAUCUGUCCGUGGUCCUGAAUGUCUUUUUCCUUCUUGCCAGUGACUGCAUCAGACUGGCCACUUCCCACAUUCCCCACAUUCCAUUGUUUCACCCUCCCCCAUAUACAGAUCAUUAGCCUGGACUAUUAAAUGCAAAAUAAUAUGUGGUGAUGAUGAUGCAUAUUAAUUAGGAUUAGUUUCAACUAUAUGCGUCAGGAUGCCCACAUGAAUUUCUUAAAUGAUAGAGAAAUAGAAGUUCAGUUUCUUUUCUUCUCAUAAAAGAAGGUCCAGAUGUAGCCCAGAGUCUGAAUGGUCUCUCCAUAGUCAUGAGUACCUCACAUCCUUCUAGCCUCCCACUCUGCCUUCCCUAUAGUUCUCAUUGCCAUGGUCCAAAUGGCUGCUAGAGCACCAGCCAUCACAUCAGAUAGCAGAUGGAGGAAAGCUAUAAAUAAGGGUACCCCC
rnacentral:lncRNA from 1 species